rnacentral:lncRNA from 1 species
GGCCACAGGACCCCUGGAAUAAGGAAAGCCCGCUCUCGGGCACUGAGUGUUGCAAAUAGGUUUGGUGGUGCUGAGCUGUGAGUGGCUCUGGAAUGUGUCUUGUUUUGAGGUGCACAAGCAGCUUUUCCUUCGAAUUUCUUAAAUCCCUCCUGCAGUCUCGUUUCUAGAUUAUAGCCCUGGCGUGUUCCUCUUUGAAUGACCAUUGAGCAUCAAGAGAUGGGGAAGACCUUUACAAAAAUACAAGCAGAAAGAAGUUGCUUUACCCAUUUGGCUUUGUCAUGGAAGAGGGGUCGUUGCACCAGGGACAGCAAACACUUCCUUCAAUUGAACCCUCGCCUUCUCUCCUGAUUGGCCUUCCAGUCAAGGAAGGGCCACUGGAAAGCGCUGAUCAUGUUGUUUCCCAUCAUCUGGAUCCCAAAGUUGUUAACUUAAAUGGGUGACUGAGGUUUUAGUAAACUGGGUUUUACUAAUAGUAACCCCUUCUUUGAGGUACUAUUUUUUCCAUUCUUUUCCUUUAUGACAAGUAAAUCCAUUGGCUAUGCUAAGUUUAUUUGCAUCCUAGCAAGUCUUAGAGAAUCAAUUUAGUUAAAAUGAUUGUAUUUGCCUUCAGAGAAGAGGCUCAUGGUCUAAAUAUAAUUCUUAUGUAAAGAUGUCUUUUAUGCAAAAAAUAUGGAUUCUAACUUGGUAAGAUGGCCCCAGGGUAGGGGGGGAUGUG